CGAGGAAUUUUCCGCAAUGGGCGAAAGCCUGACGGAGCAACGCCGCGUGGGGGAAGAAGGCCUUCGGGUUGUAAACCCCUGUUGCGAGGGAAGAAGAUCUGACGGUACCUCGCGAGGAAGCCACGGCUAACUACGUGCCAGCAGCCGCGGUAAUACGUAGGUGGCAAGCGUUGUCCGGAUUUACUGGGCGUAAAGCGCGCGCAGGCGGACCGGUCAGUCCGGGGUGAAAUCUCACGGCUCAACUGUGAGAGGUCCCUGGAUACUGCUGGUCUUGAGGGGCUCAGAGGAGAGUGGAAUUCCGGGUGUAGUGGUGGAAUGCGUAGAUAUCCGGAGGAACACCAGUGGCGAAAGCGGCUCUCUGGGGGCAACCUGACGCUGAGGCGCGAAAGCGUGGGGAGCGAACCGG
rnacentral:rRNA from 1 species